AUUGAACGCUGGCGGCAGGCCUAACACAUGCAAGUCGAACGAGUGGCGGACGGGUGAGUAAUGUCUGGGAAACUGCCUGAUGGAGGGGGAUAACUACGGGACACGGUAGCUAAUACCGCAUACCAUCAGAUGUGCCCAGAUGGGAUUAGCAUGUUGGUGGGGUAACGGCUACCCAAGGCGACGAUCCCUCGCUGGUCUGAGAGGAUGACCGGCAAAACUGGAACUGAGACACGGUCCAGACUCCUACGGGAGGCACCAGUGGGGAAGAUUGCACAAUGGGCGAAAACCUGAUACAGCCAUGCCGCGUGUAUGAAGAAGGCCUUCGGGUUGUAAAGUACUUUCAGCGGGGAGGAGUUACCCGCAGAAGAAGCACCGGCUAACUCCGUGCCAGCAGCCGCGGUAAUAC
rnacentral:rRNA from 1 species